rnacentral:lncRNA from 1 species
UUUUUUUCCUUUUUUUUUUAGGUUAAAGUAUAGUUGAUUUACAAUGUUGUGCCAAUUUCUGCUGUACAGCAAAGCGACCCAGUCAUACAUAUAUACAUUCUUUUCUUAUAUUCUCUUCCAUCAUAGUCUGUCUCAAGAGAUUCGAUAUAGUUCCCUGUGCUGUACAGUAGGACCUCAUUGCCCAUCCAUUCUAAAUGCAGUUGUUUGCAUCUAAUAACCCCAAGCUCCCAGUCUCUCCCACUCCCUCCCCCUUGGCAACCACAAAAGUGUUCUAAGGCUGUGAGUCUGCUUCUGUUUUGUCAAUAGGUUCAUUUGUGCCAUAUUUUAGAUUCCACAUCUAAGUGAUAUCAUAUGGUAUUUGUCUUUUUCUUUCUGACUUACUUCACUUAGUAUGAGAAUCUCAGGUUCCAUCCAUGUUGCUGCCAAUGGCAUUAUUUUGUUCGUUUUUAUAGCCGAGUAGUAGUCCAUUGUAUAUAUGUACCACUUCUUCUCCAUUUGCUGGGAUCUUGUAUGGAGCAGGGCAUGUGUUCUUAUUUCUCCUGGUAGUGGUUGUAUUAAGUUCAGAUGUGGUAGCAAAGGUGGCAUGUCCCAGAGCUUGGUUAGGCAUUUGUGAAGUGAUUUAUUCACUAAUAUUUCCUGCCCACCUGGGAGGAGCUGGGUCCUAGAAAAAAAGGAGAGGCCUUGGGGUGAGAAAGGCAGGCACGAAAACACAUGGUAUUACAGUGUCAUCAGUACGCCGUGUGAAGCGACCUGUGUAGGCACUCUGUUCCAGGGGGUGCUAAAGACCAGCUGUGCUCUAGUGUCAGGGUGACCAUCCUUUACCAGGGAUGUGGGCAGGCUGGUCCACUUGGGAACCUGAGUCGGAGGGCCCUCAGGGAGCCACUGGCCGAGUGGGAAGGACCCCGCCCCAUAGUUCUUCAUCUCAGUCUUGUUCCCCACUCGCCUCUGCUUUUCUCCUUGUCUUCCUCCUGUCCUCAGCUUCCAGUAACACCCAGUCUAACCACUGGGCAAUCAAAGAGGGAAGGAGGUGGGAGUUCCCUGGUCCUAGCAUUGUCACUGCUGUGGUGCAGGUUUGAUCCUUGCCCCCAGAACUUCUGCAUGCCGCAGGUGGCAUUAAAAAAAAAAAAAAAAAGGAAUGAGGUGUUGACAGUUGGCUGUUUCUCAAGGAGGAAGAGUUGUAAUCAUGUUUAUUGUCAUUGCAGCAGGCAUGCUCUGCCUCUCCCUGUGGAGGCUGGGGUCAGGAAGGCCACUGGAUCGCCCCUCUUCAGACUCAGCCAGGAGGAAGAGGGUUCCUCAUAGUCACUCUCCCUCCUCUCCUGAGCUCUGAUGGGUCCCUGGGGCCAAAGCGUCCCCGGGGGGCCAACUUGCCCCUGAGGCAGACUGGCCACGCAGGCUUUCAACUGGGCUGGACUGGUCCUCGCUCACUUUGAGCCACUGCUCACCUUUCCUGGAGACAUUUACCUUCUGUACCUCUAACACCCUGUUUGCCAGAAUGACCCUCAUUCCUCUCAGCUCAAUUGCCAUCAGGGCAACUUUGUCAUGACUUCUGGGCGUCAUGUUGCUGGAACUCGUUCUCUGCUCACAGUGCCGAAUAGAAACUCAGAGAUAGUUUUGGGUAAAGGAGAAAAACCAUAGCUUUAUUGCUUUGCCAGGCAAAGGAGGGUGACAGUAGGCUAAUGCCUUAAAGACUGUGCCCCCCCCCCACCCCUUAGGAGAGAAGGGAGGUGAUUUUAUAGUUUGGGGAGUGAAAAAUAAGGCUGCAGAUAAGGAUCAGGGUAGAGGCAAGCUUGCAUUGUUUUCAAAGCUGGUGUUCAGUGGUCUGGUGGUCUUCUUUCCAGAAUAAAGAAGGCUUCAUUAACAUCUUCCAUUUGUUGGGGGUUUUAGUUUUGCAGAAGAACUCAAAGAUAUUGUUAUCUCUGUUCCUUGAGGAGGGACCAGGACCCUUCUCCAAAGCUGCACUGUUGUCUCUGGAUCGCUGCUCUCUGGUCUCUGCAUCCCCUCCCUUCCCUGAUUAGCAACCAUUUGAACCUGACCUUGGGAACCCAGGAAAGGUCAUGGAGGCUGAAGUUUAUUCCCUAAAAACAAGAAAUGGGGAACACAGAAAGGCUUGUGUGCCCAGGAGCCCACAGGGCCCUGCUUGGUUUCAGUAGCAGUCACUGGACCUCUGUCCUGAGCCAUGCUGGGGCACAGGGAAGCUCUGAGACCCUAAAACUAGAGACGCUGGGUGACCUUUUCUUUCCUGGGGUCUUGAGGCAGCUGCACCCAGGCAAUGCUCACCAGGACGCUCUGCUGCACACGUCUCUGGACUCCUGAGACCGAAACAGGAGCAAGGAGGAGGGUGCAGGGCUCCUUCUCUGGGACUUGGUGAUGUCUCCACUUUUAUCAGUUUCCCCGUGUCCCUGCCCAUCAGCUCAGAAAGCAAAGUAUUUUUAGUUGGGCUUGGAUUGGGGGAAGUGGUGGAGGGUGCAGGCGGAGGAGGGAAUCUUGCUCCGAGUCCCGAUGUUUUCUCCCAAAUCCUUUGCUUAAGUUUUGAGUCUAUUCCAUUCCCUAAAGGAAAAUCAAAUAGCUAGCUUUUUGAAUCAAACGCCAGGAAGAGACACCCCCCACCAUUUUGCAGUCUCAUCUUUUCCCAGGCAAGAAACAGAGAAGCCUGGUGGCUGCUUGAAGGGGGGUGGGAGUGGGUAAAAGGGUGGUGAACAGGACCUGGGGAGGGGGAGGAGCCAUCACCGGGGAGGAACCCAUCACCGGAGAGGGCAAAAAUCCUAACCUGCCACGGUACACUGAGUCUUCCGUUUGCUCAAGGAUGUAUAAUGAGAUACUGCUGAAUUUUUUUUUUUUUUUCAGUUUUCUUUUAGCUUGUAGGCCACCCCACUGCCAAAGGCUGCCUCUUUCUUCCUUUGGCCCUCUUUCUCCCCCAGAGGCUAUGCCUGCGGAUCCUGCCAAGCUCCCAGCUCCCAGCAGAGCCUCACGGCGCUGAAGCAGAAAUGUGAAAGAUUGCUCACUGGGAAUUUCUUUUUUACUUGCGGUGAUUUUGAAGUUGAGGCGUACUUGGUUUCCAGCCAUACUGAGGGUGUGUUUUGGGUAUAGCUUUACUUUUUCUUCUUGGUCUCUGUUGUUUCUGGAGGAAAUCUGGGGGCACAGGCAUGGGUAGCCACCAUUGCCUCCAUAAAAGGAGACAGUGAAUAAUAAAAAUGGAAGGGAGAGGGAUCUUCUGGAAGGCGGGUGACAAAGGGGAUAAGAAACAGAAAGGACCGUUUGAGAUCUCACAAGACAGUAGGUUAUCAACACAAGUUUCCUUGCAUGGAAUCUGCCAGACAGAGCUGGGGUAAUUCUGCCUCUGCUUUCCACCGGCUGUGUGAGUCCUUGGACAAGUCAUUUGCCUUUCUAAUCCUCUGUAUUUUCCUCUAUAGUAUAAAAAAGAUAACGACGCCCUACUUCUGAGUGCCGUGAAGAGGAUGAAAUGGGAAGAGGCACGUAAAGUGCUUAGUACAUGGCUUGGGGAGCACCAAGCACUUCAUAACAUUCGCUAUUAUUGCCAUUCCUCCCACUAUUACUAUUAGUCAUUCGCUAUCUCAAAGAAACCCAUCCUUGACAAGCAUAGGCUCUGAUAAGAGUGGUUUAAGGAGACUCGUAUGUCAACAUUAAACAUGUUCUCUUAAUUCUCUUAGGGAGCAGAAGAAACAAGUUUCCAGUUUGAGUGUCUGAUCCUGAUUAAGUUCCUAGUCCAUUGCCGUGCAUCUAGUAAGUAGGUCCUGUGAACUGAAGUGUGGCACUUGGCAUCAGCCUCUACGUGGAUUAUAUCAUGAGCCCUUGCAGCUGCCAACCCACAGCAGCCCCUAAGCAGAGCUCAGGUGAACAUCAGGAGGGAGGCCCUCUGGGCUCGGGGAAAACUGGAAGAACAGGUCUAAAGCUAGUCAGAUAUUUUCAGAAGAUUUUAGGUGCACCUCCUCGGAUCUAGAAAAAGACUGAAAUCCUUCUUGGUGAGGUCUGCUCCUUGUGACUAGCAGUAACCUUCAGGAGACCAGCAGCAAACUUUCGUAAAAUGUGUGUGUGUGUGUGGCCACAGGCACCUCCCCUUCACCUUUAACAGAUACCCUGGUAUCCUUGACCCCCUGCCUCUUUGGCCAGGUUGCAGUUGACAAAACAAAGGAUGUCACAGUCAUCUGAGAAAGCAGUCAUCUCCAAGGGUGAGCCGUAAGCCCCGAGCCCUGAGGGCUGCGAAAACUCAGGAUACUGGCCUGGUAGCUGAGGUGCCUAUCAAAGGAAUGAUUUCAGCAAGCCCAGGCCUCUUUUGUUCCUGAUACGGGCCCUUUCUUGCCAAAACUCCUGUAUAGCCCAGCUCCCGCUUCACCUCCUCCGAGCGGUUUCUCAGGGCUACCCGAGAGGCUGUCUCGUAGGCUUAAGUCCUAAUUUUGCCCCAAAUAAAACUUCGCUUUCAGGUUGUGCAUUUUUGAAGUCAGCGGUGCUUGAUAGAUAUUUGUUCGAUGAAUGAUAGUCCAUAGUUUCUUUCAAUUAUAAUCCAGAAAUCAUGGGGCUCUGUUUUAAAUCCUUCUCUCUCACAUGCACAGAGAUGUGCACACACACCAUCCCCAUUUUAAAAAAUAAUUCAAUAUGGCUUUAAGCAGACAUAGACUAUGUAUUAGUUUUCUAUUGCCGUGUGACAAUAUCAGACUUUAUCACUUCAAGCAGCACACAUUUCUCUCUCGCUUUCUGUAGGUCAGGCGUCCCACAGCUUAGCUGGGUCCUCUGCUCUGGGUCCACAAGGUCACGAUCAAGGCUGAACACAGAGUCAGGCUGGCUGUGUUCUUCCCUGAAGAUGGAGAUCCUCUUCAAAGUGAAUUUAGGCAGAAUUCUGGUCCUUGUGGUUGCAGGAUGGAGGCCCUCAGCUCUCAAAGGCUGCCCCUCUCCACGGGCAGCUCACAACAUGGCUAUUGGCUUCUUCAAGGCCAGCAGAAGAAUGUCUCUCUAACCUCAAGAAGGAUCUAGUUAGUCCCACUUUAAGGGCUCAUCUGAUUAAGCGAGGCCCACCCAGGAUAAUCUCUGUUUUUGUUCACUGCAUCUCAGAGAUGCCGCACGAUCCUUCCACCUUUGCUUAGUAACCUAACCGAAUCCUGGAGUAGCAUCCCGUUGUAUUCCGUCUCACCCACAUCUGAAGGGAGGGGGUUAUAUGAGAUGUAGGGGAUUGUGGGGGGAGUGUGGGGCGUGGGGAUCUUAGGGGCUCUCUUAGAAUUCAGUCUAUCACAGGAUGUCUCUUUCAGCCCAGUAAAUAGCAUUACAAGUAGAAACUCCAAGAUGUGCAUCUACAUUCGAGUUGAUAUAAACUCAGAGAAAGUGGGGACCUUGCUGAGGGCAAUCCCGGACUACGGCACCAAAAGACAACAAUGAUAGUUUCUAUAUGCCAGGUGCUCUCCAAUACUUGAACAGCCCUGAUUCUACUUCUCGCUAAGGCAUUUUACGGAGGAAGCUGGGAAAUGAACCGCUGCCUUCUGACUCUGGGGCCUGCUCUAACUCCCGUCCUAAAUUGAAUUUAGAAAAAUAUGCACUGACAAACGCACGCAUGAUAAAUGACUUAAAAUGACGCUCAUGAUGGCAAAUUUUCUGCCGGUUCUCCAGGUCUCCCUCCCUCUCUGUCUCCCUCGCAUUCUCUGACAUUACAUGCUUGGUUACUCAAGGCCACUGUUACAGGAUGUUAAGUAAACAGUAGCCCCGUCCCUUCUUUCUCUCUUUUUUUUCCCCCCAAGAUGAGAAAAUGGAACAGAACAUUAGGAAAGGAAGCUGCAGUGCAGAGACUAUGUUGGCACCUGCCCCCCUUCCCCCACUCCAGUGGUGGCCAAGGCUGCUCCUGCUGGAGGGGACCCUCGGUGCCGCCGCUUUAACCUCGAGCGUCUCGGCCUCGCCCUGGGCUCCUCCCUGGGCGCCAGCACGUCCCUGCCUCCUGCGUGUCCAGAAUAGGUACCGCGAUCAACGCUCACUGUAGAGCCUGUCCCUGGUCCCUGUGGAAGGGGCUUUGAGACACAGAAGACCGGGAGGUCAGUCACACAGGGCAUGUCACUGCCAACCUCCCCUUUCCAUGUCUGUCUCCCCUCCAACCAAAGCGCAGCUUCUGACCUCCCCCAACCUCUCGUGCCCCACCUAAAUCCGCUUUUCUGCUUUGCAGAGGAAAACUAGCAUUGUGCCUGCUCACCAGGGUCCCAAAGUCCUGGUUCACUUAUCCUAGCUGGGCAGGUACCAUUUCUGAGUUCCGAGGCCUGGGGAAUUUACAGACAUACAUAUGGUGUUUGCAUAUUAAUCCAAUAAAAUCUUUUUUUUUUUUUUGCUCCUGUC